AACGAACGCUGGCGGCGCGCCUAACACAUGCAAGUCGAACGGUGAACGGGGCUUCGGCCCCGGGAUCAGUGGCGAACGGGUGCGUAACACGUGGGCAACCUGCCCCAGACCCUGGGAUAACCCCGGGAAACCGGAGCUAAUACCGGAUACUCCGACCGAACCGCAUGGCUCGGCCGGGAAAGGUCGGCCGGUCUGGGAUGGGCCCGCGGCCUAUCAGCUUGUUGGUGGGGUCACGGCCUACCAAGGCGACGACGGGUAGCUGGUCUGAGAGGACGACCAGCCACACUGGGACUGAGAUACGGCCCAGACUCCUACGGGAGGCAGCAGUGGGGAAUCUUGCACAAUGGGCGAAAGCCUGAUGCAGCGACGCCGCGUGAGGGAUGAAGGCCCUCGGGUUGUAAACCUCUUUCGGCAGGGACGAAGCGAUCGUGACGGUACCUGCAGAAGAAGCCUCGGCUAACUACGUGCCAGCCGCCGCGGUAAAAC
rnacentral:rRNA from 1 species